rnacentral:rRNA from 1 species
UACGUAGGUGGCAAGCGUUGUCCGGAAUUAUUGGGCGUAAAGCGUGCGCAGGCGGCGCGUUAAGACAGGUGUGAAAGCCCCGAGCUUAACUUGGGAAUUGCGCUUGUGACUGGCGUGCUGGAGUGUGGCAGAGGGAGGUGGAAUUCCACGUGUAGCAGUGAAAUGCGUAGAGAUGUGGAGGAACACCGAUGGCGAAGGCAGCCUCCUGGGCCAGCACUGACGCUCAUGCACGAAAGCGUGGGGAGCAAACAGG